rnacentral:tRNA from 1 species
GGAGGGGUGGCAGAGUGGUCGAAUGCGCCGCAUUCGAAAUGCGGUAUGCCGAAAGGCAUCGUGAGUUCGAAUCUCACCCCCUCCGCCA